GACGAACGCUGGCGGCGUGCCUAAUACAUGCAAGUCGAACGAACCGCGACUAGGUGCUUGCACUUGGUCAAGGUGAGUGGCGAACGGGUGAGUAACACGUGGGUAACCUACCUCAUAGUGGGGGAUAACAGUCGGAAACGACUGCUAAUACCGCAUAGGACAUAGGAUCACAUGAUUCUGUGAGGAAAGGUGGCGCAAGCUAUCGCUAAGAGAUGGACCCGCGGUGCAUUAGCUAGUUGGUAGGGUAAAGGCCUACCAAGGCGAUGAUGCAUAGCCGACCUGAGAGGGUGAUCGGCCACAUUGGGACUGAGACACGGCCCAAACUCCUACGGGAGGCAGCAGUAGGGAAUCUUCCGCAAUGGACGCAAGUCUGACGGAGCAACGCCGCGUGAGUGAAGAAGGUCUUCGGAUCGUAAAGCUCUGUUGUUAGAGAAGAACAGCGCAUAGAGUAACUGUUAUGCGUGUGACGGUAUCUAACCGGAAAGCCACGGCUAACUACGUG
rnacentral:rRNA from 1 species